ACACGUACAGUUUGUGGAGUGGACCCGGGGCUUUGUGUGUUUGUGAUCAGUCUUGGUGUUGAGGAUUUCUCAUGUUCAGCUCCCAACCAACAAAGUCUGAGCUAAAACUCUUCCUGUAGCCACGUGUGCUUUGCAUUCUGCAGCAAAGUUCUACAGAUGUGCAAAGAUCUGGGCGAGCAAUGAGCUGUGACAUCAACAUGAACUUUCUGUUUCCUCCAAAAGUCCACAGCACUUCCUGUUGUUGCUCAGACGUGACUGAUAACUAGAAUUGAAUAGAACUAUUUGAAAUGACUUAGCUUUAGCUGUAUGCUAGCUACACUCUACAGUGACUUUCAGCUCAACUUCUUUUGCCACCAGGAUGUUUCCCUCAAAGAUGCUUGUAGGUGGAUCUGACUGUGGUCAAUCAACACCUGCGCCUUGCCGCCCUGAUCAGAUACCCAGCUGGGAUAAUGAGCUCGCCAAAGGAGAAGACUGAAAGCACUGACACGAGGAAGGGACGAGUCAGAGGACCAGUGAGUGUCAGCAGAACCACUGUUCAGGACGAGACCACAGACAUCAGCCACAACUGACCAUGUACUUAGUGAAAACCUCAGACAGCAGAAAGCAGAGAAAGAGGAGGAGCAAGGAGAGCAGCCAUGAUGGAAGGACAGGGACAGAGUUCAUGUUCAUGGACAUCAGGAUAAAAACAGAAGAUGGAAACCUGCCAGAUUUGAGCUGCUCAUGUGUCGUCCCUGGGCAGGUCACAUGACUCUAUCCAACACACAAAGACACACAGACACACAAGAAAAGCCAGAGAAACAAAGACAAAUCCAAACAAUCCAUCAUACUGAGUUAAAGUGAUCACA